GAGGGUAUAGCUCAGUGGUGGAGCACAUGCCUAGCAUGCAUGAGGCCCUGGUUCAAUUCCCAGUGCCUCCA
rnacentral:tRNA from 1 species